rnacentral:rRNA from 1 species
GGCGGGCGGGUGAGUAACGCGUGGGAAUCUGCCCAGUAGUGGGGGACAACUACCGGAAACGGUAGCUAAUACCGCAUACGCCCUAUGGGGGAAAGGCUUCGGCCGCUAUUGGAUGAGCCCGCGUCAGAUUAGCUAGUUGGUAGGGUAAAGGCCUACCAAGGCAACGAUCUGUAGCUGGUCUGAGAGGACGAACAGCCACACUGGGACUGAGACACGGCCCAGACUCCUACGGGAGGCAGCAGUGGGGAAUAUUGGACAAUGGGCGAAAGCCUGAUCCAGCAAUGCCGCGUGUGUGAAGAAGGCCUGCGGGUUGUAAAGCACUUUCAGUUGGGAAGAUGAUGACGUUACCAACAGAAGAAGCACCGGCUAAAUCCGUGCCAGCAGCCGCGGUAAUACGGAUGGUGCGAGCGUUAAUCGGAAUUACUGGGCGUAAAGCGCGC